GUAGAACAAGUGCAAAUGCAAUAGAUUGAUUUUAAAAUCAAAACCAACUUAUUGUAAAGCAUUUAUCCAACGUCAAUGUUGAAUAGAUUACAAUAAACUUUACAAUAAUGACAGACAUAUGGUAUUGAAACAGAAUCCAUAAAUAAAUUAUUUAUCGGACAAAAGAAUAAACCAUUUAGUUUUCAUUAUAAAAUAAUACAAAAAAAAAUUUGUCAAUAGAAUUUUGGCUAUAUAUAGCUAUAUAUGUGUGACGGUAACAAGUUAAAUAGAUUAGGUAGUCGGGAACAAACUAAACAGAUUAAGUGGAAGGCACUGCUCAACUUGAAACCAGCUUCGAACAAAUUCUAUUUUUAAUAUAGAGAAAAUUUUUAGCUCGAACAUCAUACAAAGACACAUUUGCUUACUCAUUGUGAAAAUGAAAGCUAUUAUUCUGCUCUUAAUUCUUGCGGUUUUUGUGACCGAUGUUUGCAAUUUGGCUUCUGGAAAUUGGGUUAAAAAAGAAAAAAGUCAAGAAAGUACGCUUUACUAUAUUGCUAACGAAGUUAAAAAAGUAUUGACAUUAAUAAAGGGUAUGUUGUACGAAAACCGACAAAGAGACAGUUCGCUAUCUGAAAACGAAGAAGCUAUAUAUUAAUUUCUGAGCCUUUUAA